GCCAGUCUGUAGCCUUCAGUAAAUGUUACAAACCUAACUGUGCUAAGUUAAGAGACAUUAUCAAAAUGACCCAGGAAUCACCUGAAAGGACUGGACAGCUCUGGAAAUGAGUGAAUGCAUCUUGUAAGCAAGGAGAAAACUAGAGGGAUCCGUCUGGGACUGAGUGCACCAAAACUCUUGUGUCUCUCACGAUUUAAGUUUUCUUGAAUAACUUCAUGGAAGCCAUGUACAUCUCUACUACAUCCUCUCAGGCACAUCGCUACCUGUUGGAUGCCCUGGCAAGUUAAAGACUUCCCUUAUCUCUGACCCUCUGUCUCUAUAUUUGUGAAAUAAAGUGGUCCAACUUGAUCAUCUCUAAGGUGCUUUAGAGCUCAGAAAAAUCGCAUGGUUCUUAAUGGUUAGACAUGUGAACAAUAUUUCUAAGUGUGUCUAAGAAGAAGGCCAGGACACAUCAUUCUGAAAUGUCUCUU
rnacentral:lncRNA from 10 species